rnacentral:lncRNA from 1 species
UCUUCUUUCUUCCCCACAACUCUUCUGGGAGCCAGAACUUGUGAUCCCCGUUUUCCACCAAUGGAAGCUGUAGCCCUGAAAGUCAGUCUCCUCCUGCAUCCAAAGGCAGGGCAUGAAGGGUGCUGCUGGGUCCUGACUGCCAGCCCUGGGCCUGCCCCUCGGUGGAAGAGCAGCUGAUCUGCUAUGUGCACGAGGGGAGCGAGACACUGACAGACAGUUUUGUCCUGAUGGCUAAUGUCUCGGAGAUGGACCGCCAGAGCCAUCCUGUGGCCUUCACUGUCACCAUCCUGCCUGUCAAUGGCCAACCCCCCGACCUCACCACAAACUCAGGCCUGCAGGGUCCGUCCAGCCACUCAGCAGCCAGAGCCUCAGAGCCAGCUCCAGUGCAGGCACCAACCUCCAGCUUCUGCUCUUACUGUGUGGUGCGGGGCCCCCAGCUAGGUCAGCUCUUCCAUGCCCAGCAUGACAGCACAGGGGAGGACCUGGUGAACUUCACUCAGCCAGAGAGCUCCCGUAUCCAGGCAUCAGCUCCAACUCCCACUCCUGGAGGCGGAGGUGGGAGGAUCACUUGAGCCCAGGAGUUCCAGACCAUCCUCGGCAACAUAGUGAGACCUUGUCUCUACACAAAACUUUUAAAAAUAGCUGGGCUUGGUGGUGGCACGUGACUGUCGUCCGAGCUACUCGAGAGGCUGACAUUGGAGGAUCACUUUGAUCCCAGGAGGUUGAGGCUGCAGUGAGCAGUGAUCACUGUACUCCAGCCUGGUGACAGAGCGAGACCCUAUCACCACCCCCACCCCUGCCAAACAAAACAACAACUGAAAAGACAAGUUUCCUAUUGGCAUGAUAGGUCCUGCGUCCCCUCCCAGAUCAGUAACGUGGGAC